rnacentral:rRNA from 1 species
CCUACGGGAGGCAGCAGUGAGGAAUAUUGGUCAAUGGGCGAGAGCCUGAACCAGCCAAGUCGCGUGAAGGAUGACGGCCCUACGGGUUGUAAACUUCUUUUGUCAGGGAGCAAUUGAGUCCACGUGUGGGCUUAGCGAGAGUACCUGAAGAAAAAGCAUCGGCUAACUCCGUGCCAGCAGCCGAGGUAAUACGGAGGAUGCGCGCGUUGUCCGGAUUUAUUGGGGUUAAAGGGUUAGUAGGCGGAAUAUCAAGUCAGGGGUAAAAAUUCGGGGCUCAACCCCGUCGUGCCGUUGAAACUGAUGUUCUUGCGUGGGCGAGAUGUAUGCGGAAUGCGUGGUGUAGCGGUGAAAUGCAUAGAUAUCACGCAGAACUCCGAUUGCGAAGGCAGCAUACCGGCGCCCAACUGACGCUGAAGCACGAAAGCGUGGGUAUCGAACAGGAGUAGAUACCCGGGUAGUC